GACGAACGCUGGCGGCGUGCUUAACACAUGCAAGUCGAACGGAAAGGCCCCUUUGGGGGUACUCGAGUGGCGAACGGGUGAGUAACACGUGAGUAACCUGCCCUCUACUUCGGGAUAACUUCAGGCAACUGGGGCUAAUACCGGAUAGGAAUCCUUACUGCAUGGUGGGUGUUGGAAAGCUUCGGCGGGUUUGGAUGGACUCGCGGCUUAUCAGCUUGUUGGUGUGGUUGUGGCUUACCGAGGUUUUGACGGGUAGCCGGCCUGUGUGGGCGACCUGCCACAUUGGGACUGAGGGACGGCCCAGACACCGACGGGAGGAAGCAGUGGGGAAUAUUGCAGAAUGGGCGGAAGCUGGAUGCAGCAACGCUGCGUGCGGGAUGACGGUGUUGGAGGGGAAGACCGGUUUGAGCAGGAGAGAAGCUUGGGGUGACGGUACCUGAAGAAGAAGCAACGGCUAACUACGUG
rnacentral:rRNA from 1 species